UCGACCUGAGGUCAGGCAAGAACACCCGCUGAACUUAAGCAUAUCAAUAAGCG
rnacentral:rRNA from 1 species